AAAACCCAGAGAUCCCGUCCCUCGUCUUUCCAAACCCAAAAACUGAAAAAAUUUCAGUGUUUUGGAACCAAGCUCAUCUGCUCAUGGCUUCUCUAGCGACCUUUGCUGCUGUGCAACCACCCACCAUCAAGGGCCUUGGUGGCAGCUCCCUAAUCGGAACAAAGCUCUCUUGCAAGCCCACUCUCCAGAGCCUUAGACCCAGACGCUUAAGGGCUGGUGCUGUGGUGGCGAAGUAUGGUGACAAGAGUGUUUACUUUGAUUUGGAGGACUUGGGGAACACCACUGGGCAGUGGGACUUGUACGGGUCAGAUGCGCCUUCACCAUACAACUCACUACAGGCAGGUUGGAAUUGUAAAAUUUGUUGCUUAUGGUCAUGGAAUAAAAAUAUGUACUUAAAAAUUUCAACCUUGAGUUCUGAAAAACUUGAAGGCCAGAACUGGAACCAUUUACGUUGGAAUUUUAAGAAUUCCACGCCCAAGCCGGAAAUGGAGAUUGCUUAUUUGUGAUAAACAUCACAAUGACAACAUUGUAGAAGAACCCCUCUCCUCUGCUCAUCCUGGAUAGUGGAUACAGCUAUGUCAAUUUGUUGUAUCGUUGGAUUCCUUAAUCUUUGUCCAAACAUAGUUGAUUUAUAUGGCUGAAUCUUAGAUAUGGAAUUGCAGAGCAAAUUCUUUGAGACAUUUGCAGCUCCAUUCACCAAGAGGGGGUUAUUGCUCAAAUUCUUGAUAUUGGGAGGUGGUUCCACCCUCACUUACUUCAGUGCCACUGCUUCGGGUGACAUCCUGCCGAUC